rnacentral:rRNA from 1 species
UACGUAGGGUGCAAGCGUUAAUCGGAAUUACUGGGCGUAAAGCGUGCGCAGGCGGUUUCGUAAGUCUGUCGUGAAAUCCCCGGGCUUAACCUGGGAAUGGCGAUGGAGACUGCGGAGGCUAGAGUUUGGCAGAGGGGGGGUAGAAUUCCACGUGUAGCAGUGAAAUGCGUAGAGAUGUGGAGGAACACCGAUGGCGAAGGCAGCCCCCUGGGUC